AUAAAUAAGAAGGAUAA
rnacentral:tRNA from 2 species